rnacentral:rRNA from 1 species
UACGUAGGGGGCAAGCGUUGUCCGGAAUUAUUGGGCGUAAAGAGCGCGUAGGCGGUCCGAUAAGUCAGCUGUGAAAGUCAGGGGCUCAACCCUUGAAAGCCGGCCGAUACUGUCGGACUAGAGUUCGGAAGAGGCAAGUGGAAUUCCCGGUGUAGCGGUGAAAUGCGCAGAUAUCGGGAGGAACACCGGUGGCGAAGGCGGGUCUCUGGGCAGUAACUGACGCUGAGGAGCGAAAGCGUGGGGAGCGAACAGG